rnacentral:rRNA from 1 species
GACGAACGCUGGCGGCGUGCUUAACACAUGCAAGUCGAACGGAAAGGCCCUGCUUUUGUGGGGUGCUCGAGUGGCGAACGGGUGAGUAACACGUGAGUAACCUGCCCUUGACUUUGGGAUAACUUCAGGAAACUGGGGCUAAUACCGGAUAGGAGCUCCUGCUGCAUGGUGGGGGUUGGAAAGUUUCGGCGGUUGGGGUUGGACUCGCGGCUUAUCAGCUUGUUGGUGGGGUAGUGGCUUACCAAGGCUUUGACGGGUAGCCGGCCUGAGAGGGUGACCGGCCACAUUGGGACUGAGGUACGGCCCAGACUCCUACGGGAGGCAGCAGUGGGGAAUAUUGCACAAUGGGCGGGAGCCUGAUGCAGCAACGCCGCGUGCGGGAUGACGGCCUUCGGGUUGUAAACCGCUUUCGCCUGUGACGAAGCGUGAGUGACGGUAAUGGGUGAAGAAGCACCGGCUAACUACGUG